AAUUGACCUCGGAUCAGGUAGGGAUACCCGCUGAACUUAAGCAUAUCAAUAAGCGGAGGAAAAGAAACCAACCGGGAUUGCCUCAGUAACGGCGAGUGAAGCGGCAACAGCUCAAAUUUGAAAUCUGACCCUGUUGGGGUUCGAGUUGUAAUUUGUAGAGGAUGUUUCGGGCGCGAAGCCGGUCUAAGUCCCUUGGAACGGGGCGUCAUAGAGGGUGAGAAUCCCGUCUGUGACCGGCGAUCAAGCCUCUGUGAAACUCCUUCGACGAGUCGAGUUGUUUGGGAAUGCAGCUCAAAAUGGGUGGUAAAUUUCAUCUAAAGCUAAAUACUGGCCAGAGACCGAUAGCGCACAAGUAGAGUGAUCGAAAGAUGAAAAGCACUUUGGAAAGAGAGUCAAAAAGUACGUGAAAUUGUUGAAAGGGAAGCGCUUGCAACCAGACCUGCCCGCGGGCGAUCAGCCGUCCCUUCCAGGGCGGUGCACGCGCCCGCGAACAGGCCAGCAUCGGUUCGGGCGGCCGGAUAAAGGCCCGGGGAACGUAGCUCCUCUCGGGGAGUGUUAUAGCCCCGGGUGCAAUGCGGCCCGCCUGGACCGAGGACCGCGCUUCGGCUAGGAUGCUGGCGUAAUGGUUGUAAGCGGCCCGUCUUGAAACACGGACCAAGGAGUCUAACAUCUAUGCGAGUGUUUGGGUGUCAAACCCAUGCGCGUAAUGAAAGUGAACGGAGGUAGGAACCCACCAGGGCGCACUAUCGACCGAUCCUGAAGUCUUCGGAUGGAUUUGAGUACGAGCAUAGCUGUUGGAACCCGAAAGAUGGUGAACUAUGCCUGAAUAGGGUGAAGCCAGAGGAAACUCUGGUGGAGGCUCGCAGCGGUUCUGACGUGCAAAUCGAUCGUCAAAUUUGGGUAUAGGGGCGAAAGACUAAUCGAACCAUCCUAGUAAGCUU
rnacentral:rRNA from 1 species